UACGAAGGGGGCUAGCGUUGCUCGGAAUUACUGGGCGUAAAGCGCACGUAGGCGGCUCUUUAAGUCGGUGGUGAAAUCCUGGAGCUCAACUCCAGAACUGCCUUCGAUACUGAAGAGCUUGAGUCCGGGAGAGGUGAGUGGAACUGCGAGUGUAGAGGUGAAAUUCGUAGAUAUUCGCAAGAACACCAGUGGCGAAGGCGGCUCACUGGCCCGGUACUGACGCUGAGGUGCGAAAGCGUGGGGAGCAAACAGG
rnacentral:rRNA from 1 species